rnacentral:tRNA from 1 species
GCCCUGGUAGUGUAGUUGGUCUAUCAUGGGGCCCUGUCGAGGCCCCGACCCGGGUUCGAAUCCCGGCCAGGGCG